GAUGAAGAACGCAGCGAAAUGCGAUAAGUAGUGUGAAUUGCAGAAUUCAGUGAAUCAUCGAAUCUUUGAACGCACAUUGCGCCCCUUGGUAUUCCAUUGGGCAUGCCUGUUCGAGCGUCAUUUACAACCUCAAGCUCCGCUUGGUGUUGGGUGUCUGUCUGCGCUUCUUGCGAAGACUCGCCCUAAAUCUAUUGGCAGCGGCAUCGCCGGCUUCUCGCGCAGUACAAUGCGUUAUGGAAGGCUACCGGCGGGCUUGCGUCCAUCAAGUAACCCCCCAAGUUUGACCUCGAAUCAGGUAGGGAUACCCGCUGAACUUAAGCAUAUCAAUAAGCGGAGGA
rnacentral:misc_RNA from 1 species